rnacentral:pre_miRNA from 1 species
AGAUGCAUUGCAGGGCAAGUUCUCCUUUGGCAGUUUACUAUACUAUCUUAGACAUAGUGUGCAACCUGCCAAAGAAGAUUUGCCCAGUGAUUUUUCU